ACUUUACAGGUAAUAAGCACUGUUUCCACAGACUGUAAAUUUUUUUCCAGCAAACUUUGUGAGUAGGAGGCAAGGAAUGAUUGUACUACUAAGUAAGAAUGUAAAAGCAUGCAAGUCAUUUUUGGAAUAAUGUAGAUAAUCAAAAACAUGGCAAGAAAAGGAGACACCAAUUUGGAGAUAAGAAAAACUGUCCUAUUUGACAAGAGGAAAAUUGAAAUGGGUCUUAAAGUCUGGUAAAAGAAGACCUGCUUGACAUGAAGUAUCCUGAAAUAAAAUGCUUGUGAAAAUAGACUUUGUAGCAUCUGCCCUAAUGAGAACACUAUGUGCAUUACCUACCUGACCUUGAAACAGCAAGGACCUUCAGAGAGGGAGCCCAAAGUCAAUCUUCUGUUUUCAGCAGCUUUUCUCAACUGCCUCAGAGGAAAGAUUAGCCUGUGUGAGUUGCUGACAUUGAGUUUCCCUCUGUUCUGUAAAGGUGAUCUAAGGUUUGGCAGGAACUGUAGGGGAGGAGCGCUAGGGGAGCAUCUGUGCCCACCUGCCAGCCCACAGGAGAAGAGCAGGGAGCAGCAGACCCCUGUCCUGCCAGGCUUAUCCCCAUCACAGAUGCCACAGACACUUUAUGGCCAUCAUAAUAAAAGCUGAAUCUGCCAGCCCUGGCUUCACGAGACAGGGGAUAAACAAUAGCUAGCAGAUUAAAUAACACGGGACAUUU